rnacentral:rRNA from 1 species
UACGAGGGGUGCGAGCGUUAUUCGGAUUUAUUGGGCGUAAAGGGUGCGUAGGCGGCAAACUAAGUCAACUGUUUAAUUUUCCGGCUCAACCGGAAGCUCGCAGUAGAUACUGGUUUGAUAGAGGAUGGGAGAGAGAAGUGGAAUUCUCGGAGUAGCGGUAAAAUGCGUAGAUCUCGAGAGGAACACCGAUGGCGAAGGCAGCUUCUUGGCCCACUCCUGACGCUGAGGCACGAAAGCGUGGGUAGCAAACAGG